UACGUAGGGGCCUAGCGUUGUCCGGAAUUAUUGGGCGUAAAGAGCUCGUAGGCGGUUCGGCAAGUCGGAUGUGAAAUCUCCACGCUUAACGUGGAGGGGCCAUUCGAAACUGCUGUGACUCGAGUCCGGUAGGGGAGUGUGGAAUUCCCGGUGUAGCGGUGAAGUGCGCAGAUAUCGGGAGGAACACCAGUAGCGAAGGCGGCACUCUGGGCCGGUACUGACGCUGAGGAGCGAAAGCGUGGGGAGCGAACAGG
rnacentral:rRNA from 1 species